UCCAACUAUUUCUAACUGUUUAGUUUAUAUUGCCGCACUUGCUAAUUUGUUUGUUGAUUUUAGCGAGGGAGGGGGCAUUUAUGAACUUGCAAUAACUGAAAUGGAAAAGAAGUUUAAAAAAUAUUUUUUCCCAAUCCCUCCUAUAUUUGGUGUGUCUGCUAUGCUAAAUCCUACUAUGAAAUUAGGAGGUCCUCACUUUUGGUGUUCUACUAUUUAUCAAGCUUUAGAUCUUUCAGAAGAAGAAAUGGCUACACUAUCUGAUGCGAAAGCAUCAAUUAAAGUGAAUGCUCAAGCUGUUUAUAACGCUUAUAAACAGGCGUUAGAGCAUGCUAGGCAUAUAUUCCAACCCCUACUUCGUCUACAUCACAAUCGUCUAAAAGAGCUGCUGGCUUAACAGCUCUUAAAUCGUGGACGGAGUUCAGGGGUACUCAAGGG
rnacentral:lncRNA from 1 species